rnacentral:rRNA from 1 species
GAUGAACGCUGGCGGCGUGCCUAAUACAUGCAAGUCGAGCGAGGCGUAAUAGUCGAGCGGCGAACGGGUGCGUAAUACAUGGGAAUCUACCUCGAAGUGGGGGAUAACGUCCAGAAAUGGACGCUAAUACCGCAUAAUCCAUAUUGGGAAAGCGUUGCAGCGCUUUGAGAUGAGCCCAUGGCUGAUUAGCUAGUUGGUGAGGUAACGGCUCACCAAGGCGACGAUCAGUAGCUGGUCUGAGAGGAUGACCAGCCACACUGGAACUGAGACACGGUCCAGACUCCUACGGGUGGCAGCAGUGGGGAAUCUUGCGCAAUGGGGGCAACCCUGACGCAGCCAUACCGCGUGAGUGAUGAAGGUCUUCGGAUUGUAAAGCUCUUUCGGCGGGGACGACGAUGACGGUACCCGCAAAAGAAGUCACGGCUAACUUCGUGCCAGCCGCCGCCGUAAAAC